rnacentral:rRNA from 1 species
GCAGUCGAACGAGACCUUCGGGUCUAGUGGCGCACGGGUGCGUAACGCGUGGGAACCUGCCUUUAGGUUCGGAAUAACUCAGAGAAAUUUGGGCUAAUACCGGAUGAUGUCUUCGGACCAAAGAUUUAUCGCCUUUAGAUGGGCCCGCGUUGGAUUAGCUAGUUGGUGGGGUAAAGGCCUACCAAGGCGACGAUCCAUAGCUGGUCUGAGAGGAUGAUCAGCCACACUGGGACUGAGACACGGCCCAGACUCCUACGGGAGGCAGCAGUGGGGAAUAUUGGACAAUGGGCGAAAGCCUGAUCCAGCAAUGCCGCGUGAGUGAUGAAGGCCUUAGGGUUGUAAAGCUCUUUUACCAGGGAUGAUAAUGACAGUACCUGGAGAAUAAGCUCCGGCUAACUCCGUGCCAGCAGCCGCGGUAAUACGGAGGGAGCUAGCGUUGUUCGGAAUUACUGGGCGUAAAGCGCACGUAGGCGGCUUUUUAAGUCAGGGGUGAAAUCCCGGGGCUCAACCCCGGAACUGCCCUUGAAACUGGGAAGCUAGAAUCUUGGAGAGGCGAGUGGAAUUCCGAGUGUAGAGGUGAAAUUCGUAGAUAUUCGGAAGAACACCAGUGGCGAAGGCGACUCGCUGGACAAGUAUUGACGCUGAGGUGCGAAAGCG